ACGAACGCUGGCGGCGUGCUUAACACAUGCAAGUCACGGGGGCCCGCAAGGGUAACCGGCGAACGGGUGCGUAACACGUGAGCAACCUACCGAUUUGAGGGGGAUAGCCGGCCCAACGGCCGGGUAAUACCGCAUACGCUCUUCCGGCCUCAUGGCGGGGAGAGGAAACCUCCGGGGCAGAUCGAGGGGCUCGCGGCCUAUCAGCUAGUUGGCGAGGUAACGGCUCACCAAGGCGACGACGGGUAGCUGGUCNGAGAGGAUGGCCAGCCACAUUGGGACUGAGAGACGGCCCAGACUCCUACGGGAGGCAGCAGUGGGGAAUCUUGGGCAAUGGGCGAAAGCUUGACCCAGCCACGCCGCGUGAGUGAUGAAGGCC
rnacentral:rRNA from 1 species